GCCCUGUCAACAUUUGUUUUAUACCAACAAUGUUUCUGGAUUAUGUUGUCUCCCUCUAGGUCAUUCUCUCUGAAAAGUACUUAAAUUGAGUUCCCAGGGAAAAUCAGAUAUUCGCUAAUGUCCUAGUGAAUGAUAUGAGAAGGCCCAGUUCAUGAAGGCUCUGGAGAAGGUGAGAAAUGUGGGAUUACUCUGGAAGUCAUUUCUGCCACCUCUUAGGACAGAGAAUGUAGAUUUCCCAGGGAGCACUUCAUCAACAACCUUCAAAGCCAGCAAACUGAAGCAGACUAUGAAAUCUGAGUGAACCCUGACAUGAGAGAUGGAGGGCUCAGCUCCAGGACAGAUAAUGUAUGGAUGUUCGUUUCUCCACAAAGCCUUCCUUGAGUUUCCGAGAUUGGACUGUGUGCCUAGUCUUGUGCUUCCAUGGCAGCCUAUGUGACGCUCUUUCUCUGCAGAGGUAUUGUUCAGAAACAUUCUUUCAGUGAACACGGAUAAAUUUUAACACUGAUAAUAACCAAUGUAUGUUUUAUUGUUUAAUAAGACAUACUGAUGAUCCCUCCAAAAUAAUCUAUUUCCUGAAACUGAAACCAAGUAGCAAAUUUCUCUCUACAUUUCUCCAUUGAAUAAUAAAACUAGCAUUUUUUUCAUAACUGUUUUCCCCUUAUUGUACUAGCUGAUUGAAUAUUUGAUCAAUUCAAGCUGCAUUGUUUUACCAUGGCUUC
ensembl:lncRNA